GAUAUCGAUCGAUAUUCACUAUUCAAUGGACAGAACCCGCUCAAACAAAGAUAUAUUGGAUCGCUUUUUGUCAAAAAGCAAGAGAAAUAAUGUUGAAGAUGUAUCGAAACGACAGGAGAUAAGGCAGUUAUGCGAUUGUUCGGAACAUACCAAAAGAAUUACAUUCAAAAGAUUUGAGGAAAUACUUCAGUAGAUUUGUAGAAGCUGGUCAGUUCCAGUGUUUCCACUACAGACAUCGACCAGAAGUUCAGGCGCAAACAAGUGGAUCAGAAUCUCAAAAAAGCAAUACUUGUUGUUGCUUGAUCUCGUUACGAAGUGAAGAAGAUAGGGAAACCUUCAUAGAGGAGUUCCACAAAAAAAACUGGCAAAACUCCGCAGGUGUCGAUAUUCCUAGAAGGUGUUUUGUGGAUCGACUGAAAGUACAAAGUGAUGAUAGUGAAGGGACCUCCAAUUCUUUAUCAACUAAUGAUUUAAACGAUAUGAUUGAAUUAAAACCUCCAGAUGUAAUGCCUAAUGGAAAUAUUGGAACUCCAAGUCAAUACUUUUUGGAGCAAAUUCGUUUAUGCCGUCUACCAACAACUGUGAUAUCGAAACUUGGAAUUCAAACUCAAAAAAGAAAGAAAAAGUUCGGAGAAGUUGAUUUUCAGUAUGAGAAAACUGAUUCGUGUAAAGCUGAGAAAAUCAAAUGCGAAACGAUUCCUGGUGUCGAAGAUGAACUUGAAGAUCCUACGGAAAGAGUAAGAAUGAAUCAAAAUCCAGAAGAUAAUGAUGAUGGUAAAGAUGAUGACAACGAUCAAUGUGAAGAAUGGGAGAGACAUGAAGCUUUACAUGAAGAUGUUACUGAACAAGACAGAGCAAAACCACGAAAGUAUGAAGAAGAAAUGGAAGUUACUUGGGAAAAGGGAGGUCCUGGUCUUGUUUGGUAUACUGACAAAAACUAUUGGGAUGAAAGAGAAAAAGGAACUGAUUGUGAUUGGGCGUGGGCAGAUGAUUGGGACGUCGAUUAUUCGGUUUACUACGAGGGAAAAUCAGCAGGCGAUAUGGAUGCAAAAGCAGCAAUAGAAAUGAGAAAUGAUGAUCUUAUGCGGUCUGGGAAACUCGAACAAUCGGCUUUCACAAAGAAAAGAAACCCCCAUAAUCUUGGCACAACGCGAAAAAGAAGAAACAGUGAUGGUGGUGGAUCCUCCGAAAAAGCAUCUGAAAAUCUUCAAAAAGGAAUUGGAGGUUCUAUGCUGGCUAAAAUGGGUUGGAAACCUGGAACUGGGCUUGGAAAAAACGAACAAGGACGAGUUGUUCCCGUAGCUGUAUAUGUUGAAGAAGAUGGGCAAAGUAGUAAAGAAAAAACAGGAUUCGGUUAUAGAGGAGAGAAAUUGUCAAGAGUGGUUCAGAAAAAAACUAUUCGGCAUGUUAUAGCCUCCGCAUUCGACAGUGUCACUGAUAGGGAGCAGUGUGAGGACAAGCAAUCCGAGGAAGAGCUUCACGGAGAAAUACUUUUUAGAAGAUCUGAAGUUACCAAAAUGAAGUAUCGUGAAUAAUUUAUUUCAUUAUAUCCACCCACACAUGUCUGUACUCUAGAGUUGGUAUUCAACCUUAAAAUAAAUGUAUAUUUUCCA
rnacentral:misc_RNA from 1 species